rnacentral:rRNA from 1 species
AUUGAACGCUGGCGGCAUGCCUUACACAUGCAAGUCGAACGGUAACAGGUCUUCGGAUGCUGACGAGUGGCGAACGGGUGAGUAAUACAUCGGAACGUGCCUAGUAGUGGGGGAUAACUACUCGAAAGAGUGGCUAAUACCGCAUGAGAUCUACGGAUGAAAGCAGGGGAUCGCAAGACCUUGUGCUACUAGAGCGGCCGAUGGCAGAUUAGGUAGUUGGUGGGAUAAAAGCUUACCAAGCCGACGAUCUGUAGCUGGUCUGAGAGUACGUUCCACCACACUGGGACUGAGACACGGCCCAGACUCCUACGGGAGGCAGCAGUGGGGAAUCUUGGACAAUGGGCGCAAGCCUGAUCCAGCAAUGCCGCGUGCAGGAUGAAGGCCUUCGGGUUGUGAACUGCUUUUGUACGGAACGAAAAGCCCUGGGUUAAUACCCUGGGGUCAUGACGGUACCGUAAGAAUAAGCACCGGCUAACUACGUGCCAGCCGCCGCGGUAACAC